rnacentral:rRNA from 1 species
UACGUAGGUGGCAAGCGUUGUCCGGAUUUACUGGGCGUAAAGCGUGCGCAGGCGGUUCGUUGUGUCGGCGGUGAAAGCCCCGGGCUUAACCUGGGAAUGGGCGUUGAAACUGGCGAACUGGAGUGUGGCAGAGGGGGGUGGAAUUCCGCGUGUAGCAGUGAAAUGCGUAGAGAUGCGGAGGAACACCGAUGGCGAAGGCAGCCCCCUGGGCUAACACUGACGCUCAGGCACGAAAGCGUGGGGAGCAAACAGG